GAGAGUUCGAUCAUGGCUCAGAUUGAACGCUGGCGGGAUGCUUACACAUGCAAGUCGAACGGCGGCACGGACUUCGGUCUGGUGGCGAGUGGCGAACGGGUGAGUAAUGUAUCCGGAACGUGCCUAGUAGCGGGGGUAACACGCGAAAGCGUAGCUAAUGCCGCAUACGCAUCGACGGACGCCUUCGGGCCUCGCACUAUUGAAACGGCCGAUAUCCGAUUUAGCUAGUUGGUAGGGUAACGGCUCACCAAGGCGGCGAUCCAUGUAACUGGUUUGAGAGGACGACCAGCCACACUGGGACAGGAACCACAGCUGAACUCCUACGGGAGGCAGCAGUGGAAUUUACGGACAAUGAGGAAACCUGAUCCAGCCAUCCCGCGUGUGCGAUGAAGGCCUUCGGGUUGUAAAGCACUUUUGGCAGGAAAGAAACGGCGCAGGAUAAUACCCCGUGCAACUGACCAUUACCUGCGGGAAUAAGCACCGGCCAACCGUUGGCAGCCGCGGUAUGCGAGGUGCAAGCGUUAAUCAGUUACACAGGCGUAAGCGUGCGCAGGCGGUUCGGAAAGAAGAUGUGAAAUCCCAGAGCUUAACUGGAACUGCAUUUUUAACUACCGAGCUAGAGUGUGUCGGAGGAGGUGGAAUUUCACGCGAUAAUAGCAGUGAAAUGCGUAGAUAUGCGGAGGAACACCGAUGGCGAAGGCAGCCUCCUGGGAUAACACUGACGCUCAUGCACGAAAGCGUGGGAGCAAACAGGAUUAGAUACCCUGGUAGUCCACGCCCUAACGAUGUCAACUAGCUGUUGGGUUCGGGCCUUAUUUAGCGCAGCUAACGCGUGAAGUUGACCGCCUGGGAGUACGGUCGCAAGAUUAAAACUCAAGGAAUUGACGGGACCCGCACAAGCAGUGGAUGAUGUGGAUUAAUUCGAUGCAACGCGAAGCCUUACCUACCCUUGACAUGUCUGGAAUCCCGAAGAGAUUUGGGAGUGCUCGCAAGAGAACCGGAACACAGGUGCUGCAUGGCUGUCGUCAGCUCGUGUCGUGAGAUGUUGGGUUAAGUCCCGCAACGAGCGCAACCUUGUCAUUAGUUGCUACGAAGGGCAUAAUGUGCACCGGUGAGCAAACCGGAGGAGGUGGGAUGACGUCAAGUCCUCAUGGCCCUUAUGGGUGGGCUUCACGUCUUAAUGGUCGGGACAGAGGGUCGCCAACACGAGGGAGCCAAUCCCAGAAGCGAUCGUAGUCCGGAUGCCAGUCUGCAACUCGACUGCGUGAAGUGGGAUCGCCCGUAAUCGCGGAUCAGCAUGUCGCGGUGAAUACGUUCCCGGGUCUUGUACACACCGCCCGUCACACCAUGGGAGUGGGUUUUGCCAAGUAGUUAGCCUAACCGUAAGGAGGGCAUUACCGGUAGGAUUCAUGACUGGGGUGAAGUCGUAACAAGAUGA
rnacentral:rRNA from 1 species